rnacentral:rRNA from 1 species
CCAGCAGCUGCGGUAAUUCCAGCUCUAAUAGCAUAUAUUAAAGUUGUUGCAGUUAAAAAGCUCGUAGUCGGAUUUUGGGCGUGUGUGGGCUAUCGGCCUCUGGUCGGAUGGCGUGCGCGCGCCUUUCUGCUCGGAAUCCCCAUGGAGGUUCGCGCCUCUGUGGUGGGUCACGGGCCGUUUACUUUGAAAAAAUUAGAGUGUUCAAAGCAGGCUAUCGCUUGAAUAGAUUAGCAUGGAAUAAUGGAAUAGGACCUUGGUGCUAUUUCGUUGGUUAAUGGGACCGAAGUAAUGAUUAAAAGGGACAGUUGGGGCCGUUUAUAUUUCGUUGUCAGAGGUGAAAUUCUUGGAUUUACGAAAGAUAAACUUCUGCGAAAGCAUUCGGCAAGGAUGUUUUCAUUGAUCAAGAACGAAAGU